GGCAGGUUGAAGGUUGGGUAACACUAACUGGAGGACCGAACCGACUAAUGUUGAAAAAUUAGCGGAUGACCUGUGGCUGGGGGUGAAAGGCCAAUCAAACCGGGAGAUAGCUGGUUCUCCCCGAAAGCUAUUUAGGUAGCGCCUCGUGAACUCAUCUCCGGGGGUAGAGCACUGUUUCGGCUAGGGGGCCAUCCCGGCUUACCAACCCGAUGCAAACUGCGAAUACCGGAGAAUGUUAUCACGGGAGACACACGGCGGGUGCUAACGUCCGUCGUGAAGAGGGAAACAACCCAGACCGCCAGCUAAGGUCCCAAAGUCAUGGUUAAGUGGGAAACGAUGUGGGAAGGCCCAGACAGCCAGGAUGUUGGCUUAGAAGCAGCCAUCAUUUAAAGAAAGCGUAAUAGCUCACUGGUCGAGUCGGCCUGCGCGGAAGAUGUAACGGGGCUAAACCAUGCACCGAAGCUGCGGCAGCGACACUGUGUGUUGUUGGGUAGGGGAGCGUUCUGUAAGCCUGUGAAGGUGGCCUGUGAGGGUUGCUGGAGGUAUCAGAAGUGCGAAUGCUGACAUAAGUAACGAUAAAGCGGGUGAAAAGCCCGCUCGCCGGAAGACCAAGGGUUCCUGUCCAACGUUAAUCGGGGCAGGGUGAGUCGACCCCUAAGGCGAGGCCGAAAGGCGUAGUCGAUGGGAAACAGGUUAAUAUUCCUGUACUUGGUGUUACUGCGAAGGGGGGACGGAGAAGGCUAUGUUGGCCGGGCGACGGUUGUCCCGGUUUAAGCGUGUAGGCUGGUUUUCCAGGCAAAUCCGGAAAAUCAAGGCUGAGGCGUGACGACGAGGCACUACGGUGCUGAAGCAACAAAUGCCCUGCUUCCAGGAAAAGCCUCUAAGCAUCAGGUAACAUCAAAUCGUACCCCAAACCGACACAGGUGGUCAGGUAGAGAAUACCAAGGCGCUUGAGAGAACUCGGGUGAAGGAACUAGGCAAAAUGGUGCCGUAACUUCGGGAGAAGGCACGCUGACACGUAGGUGAAGUGAUUUACUCAUGGAGCUGAAGUCAGUCGAAGAUACCAGCUGGCUGCAACUGUUUAUUAAAAACACAGCACUGUGCAAACACGAAAGUGGACGUAUACGGUGUGACGCCUGCCCGGUGCCGGAAGGUUAAUUGAUGGGGUCAGCGCAAGCGAAGCUCCUGAUCGAAGCCCCGGUAAACGGCGGCCGUAACUAUAACGGUCCUAAGGUAGCGAAAUUCCUUGUCGGGUAAGUUCCGACCUGCACGAAUGGCGUAAUGAUGGCCAGGCUGUCUCCACCCGAGACUCAGUGAAAUUGAACUCGCUGUGAAGAUGCAGUGUACCCGCGGCAAGACGGAAAGACCCCGUGAACCUUUACUAUAGCUUGACACUGAACAUUGAGCCUUGAUGUGUAG
rnacentral:rRNA from 1 species